AUUGAACGCUGGCGGCAGGCCUAACACAUGCAAGUCGAACGGUAACAGGAAGCAGCUUGCUGCUUCGCUGACGAGUGGCGGACGGGUGAGUAAUGUCUGGGAAACUGCCUGAUGGAGGGGGAUAACUACUGGAAACGGUAGCUAAUACCGCAUAACGUCGCAAGCCCAAAGAGGGGGACCUUAGGGCCUCUUGCCAUCGGAUGUGCCCAGAUGGGAUUCGCUAGUAGGUGGGGUAACGGCUCACCCAGGCGACGAUCCCUAGCUGGUCUGAGAGGAUGACCAGCCACACUGGAACUGAGACACGGUCCAGACUCCUACGGGAGGCAGCAGUGGGGAAUAUUGCACAAUGGGCGCAAGCCUGAUGCAGCCAUGCCGCGUGUAUGAAGAAGGCCUUCGGGUUGUAAAGUACUUUCAGCGGGGAGGAAGGGAGUAAAGUUAAUACCUUUGCUCAUUGACGUUACCCGCAGAAGAAGCACCGGCUAACUCCGUG
rnacentral:rRNA from 1 species